rfam:Bacillus phage BCP78, complete genome.
AGGGUUAUAGCUCAGUGGUAGUAGCGUGGGUCUCAUAAGCCCAAGGUCGUAGGUUCGACUCCUACUAGCCCUA